rnacentral:rRNA from 1 species
CCUACGGGGGGCUGCAGUGGGGAAUAUUGCACAAUGGGCGCAAGCCUGAUGCAGCGACGCCGCGUGAGGGAUGACGGCCUUCGGGUUGUAAACCUCUGUUAGCAGGGAAGAAGAGAGAUUGACGGUACCUGCAGAGAAAGCGCCGGCUAACUACGUGCCAGCAGCCGCGGUAAUACGUAGGUCCCGAGCGUUGUCCGGAUUUAUUGGGCGUAAAGCGAGCGCAGGCGGUUAGAUAAGUCUGAAGUUAAAGGCUGUGGCUUAACCAUAGUACGCUUUGGAAACUGUUUAACUUGAGUGCAAGAGGGGAGAGUGGAAUUCCAUGUGUAGCGGUGAAAUGCGUAGAGAUGUGGAGGAAUACCGAUGGCGAAGGCAGCCUCCUGGGAUAACACUGACGUUCAUGCU